rnacentral:rRNA from 1 species
AGGUCUCCGUUGGUGAACCAGCGGAGGGAUCAUUACUGAGUUUACGCUCUAUAACCCUUUGUGAACAUACCUAUAACUGUUGCUUCGGCGGGUAGGGUCUCCGUGACCCUCCCGGCCUCCCGCCCCCGGGCGGGUCGGCGCCCGCCGGAGGAUAACCAAACUCUGAUUUAACGACGUUUCUUCUGAGUGGUACAAGCAAAUAAUCAAAACUUUUAACAACGGAUCUCUUGGUUCUGGCAUCGAUGAAGAACGCAGCGAAAUGCGAUAAGUAAUGUGAAUUGCAGAAUUCAGUGAAUCAUCGAAUCUUUGAACGCACAUUGCGCCCGCCAGCAUUCUGGCGGGCAUGCCUGUUCGAGCGUCAUUUCAACCCUCAAGCUCUGCUUGGUGUUGGGGCCCUACAGCUGAUGUAGGCCCUCAAAGGUAGUGGCGGACCCUCCCGGAGCCUCCUUUGCGUAGUAACUUUACGUCUCGCACUGGGAUCCGGAGGGACUCUUGCCGUAAAACCCCCAAUUUUCCAAAGGUUGACCUCGGAUCAGGUAGGAAUACCCGCUGAACUUAAGCAUAUCAAUAAGCGGAGGAGGUC